CAGACAGGCGGAGAGUACGGACUGCUCGUGGUCGUCCAUCGGGCGGCCGCGGACGAUGGUGAUGAGGGCCGCGACCAUGUUCAGGACGCGGCCGUGUGCC
rnacentral:tRNA from 1 species